UACGUAGGGGGCAAGCGUUGUCCGGAAUCAUUGGGCGUAAAGAGCGUGUAGGCGGCCCGAUAAGUCCGCUGUGAAAGUCCAGGGCUCAACCCUGGAAUGCCAGUGGAAACUGUCGGGCUCGAGUCCGGAAGAGGCGAGUGGAAUUCCUGGUGUAGCGGUGAAAUGCGCAGAUAUCAGGAGGAACACCAAUGGCGAAGGCAGCUCGCUGGGACGGUACUGACGCUGAGACGCGAAAGCGUGGGGAGCAAACAGG
rnacentral:rRNA from 1 species